AGCAGCAGCCACGGUAAUACGAAGGGGGCUAGCGUUGCUCGGAAUUACUGGGCGUAAAGGGCGCGUAGGCGGACAGUUUAGUCGGGGGUGAAAGCCCGGGGCUCAACCUCGGAAUUGCCUUCGAUACUGGCUGUCUUGAGUACGGGAGAGGUGUGUGGAACUCCGAGUGUAGAGGUGAAAUUCGUAGAUAUUGGGAAGAACACCGGUGGCGAAGGCGGCGACCUGGUCCAUUACUGACGCUGAGGCGCGAAAGCGUGGGGAGCAAACAGGAUUAGAUACCCGAGUAGUCCCUGUCUCUUAUAA
rnacentral:rRNA from 1 species